rnacentral:rRNA from 1 species
AUUGAACGCUGGCGGCAUGCUUUACACAUGCAAGUCGAACGGUAACAGGGAGCUUGCUCCGCUGACGAGUGGCGAACGGGUGAGUAAUGCGUCGGAACGUGCCGAGUAGUGGGGGAUAACGCAGCGAAAGUUGUGCUAAUACCGCAUACGUACUGAGGUAGAAAGUGGGGGACCUUCGGGCCUUACGCUAUUCGAGCGGCCGACGUCUGAUUAGCUAGUAGGUGAGGUAAAGGCUCACCUAGGCGACGAUCAGUAGCGGGUCUGAGAGGAUGAUCCGCCACACUGGGACUGAGACACGGCCCAGACUCCUACGGGAGGCAGCAGUGGGGAAUUUUGGACAAUGGGCGAAAGCCUGAUCCAGCCAUGCCGCGUGUCUGAAGAAGGCCUUCGGGUUGUAAAGGACUUUUGUCGGGGAGGAAAUCCCCAGCGUUAAUACCGCUGGGGGAUGACAGUACCUGAAGAAUAAGCACCGGCUAACUACGUGCCAGCAGCCGCAGUAA